CCCUUAAUUUUCGCAGUGGUAGCAUCCAUCAAGAGCUUCCCAUCCUAAGACUACUGGUCUUGCCCUGGCCGUCGUAGCAACAUCCUGCAGAGGUAAUCCACCAGGAAUCUCAACUGUUCGAGAUUUUCUGCAAGAUGGAGGCAUUUCCUCCAUUAAAUAUUCGCUAUAUAUGAUAUACACAAGAUUGUUUUCGCUGCCGAGACAAUUGAUCGGUCCAAUUGCUUCAAAAGGAGUCCGUUCUGAAGCAGCCUUCUCAGUGCAGUUAUAUAAAGCGUAACUGUCAUUAAAGGGAAGAAAAAAGAAUUUGGAGCUUGUGAGGUUGAAUGAGAUAAGACUUUGAAACGGGCAUGCAGUCUCAUUCACAUCUGUAAUGUUAAUACUGCUAUCUAGAUAAGAAAUUUCAUGGACAUAAUAAUCACCAGAGGAAGGAAGAUGCCAGAUUGCCUUGUCACUUAAGCAUGACAAUUCAAACCCUUCAAGGCCACAAGAUAUCGGUUGAGUUUUGAGUCUGAAGGGAUAUCUGAUGCUUGGGCUCCUAUUACUGCAUCUUGUUGGUUGACAGAAUUCAUAUUUAUCUGUCUUGUUGUCUUCCGCAGAAGCUUUGGCUAAUGUACAUGUAUAAGGUAAGAAGAGGACGAGGAUUAUUAAACUCAUCACGAGGGACAUGGAGGGCGAGGGAGAGUGGAGUUUGAGUUAGAGCGGGGUUUUGAGUUAUGCUUUUGGAGUAAUGAGGGAGAGCAGAGUUUGAUUGUCAAUUUGUCAAGGAAAAAGGUAGGAAAAUGGGUUUCUUUUAAUUUCUUCUGUUUUUCUAAGUCAAUGGUAGCCCCAAAGAGACUAGUCAACUUCAAAAUCUGCCAAUAUCAGAUGCAUGGAGGAACAAGAUGAGACUUGCUGUUUGUGAUAUAGAUUUUAGUGAGAGUUGCGAAAGUAAUUUGUCGGUAAAGAAAUGAGAAAAUUAUGUUUUUAAGAUCAGUAAGUAACGUUGUUCUUUAGAAAACGGGUAAUUCCUAGCAGCUAGCAUGAUAUAUCAGUGGGAGACUAAGGGUGUGUUUAGGAUUGAUGGGAACUAUGUGCCUUUAAAUUCACCAUUGUUGUGAGAUGGAAUUAUUAGCUAUUAAGUAAAAGUGGAUGCGUGGUGAUAUUUAGGUGUCUGCCAUAUACUUUGGUAAUUGUACUUUAAAUUAAGUUCAGCAGGAGCAAAGAGUGCAGCAAGCAGCGUUGGAAAAGGUUGAUGAAUGUACAUGAUCACAUGACAAACCUACAUCAUAUUCGGGUCAAUAUGAGCAAUAUUUGAAUAUUCACAUCAAACAAUGAAUCGUACUGAAAAUUUUCAACAUAAUGUUAUAGAAGCUCUGGUAGCACAAGGACAAUUUAUUUCUUUUUUACACAUAUCAUUGCCAAAACUAAGCAUAACUAUCAUUGAAAGAACAUUCCUCAAUCGAUUCAGACACUAACAACUCUGUUGAAGAAUCUGACUCAAUCUCUCUUCCGGAGAUAUGUCGAGAAGAAGAGAAGAAAGGUCUCGGAGGCAUUUGCAAAUCGUCAAUACUCCCUUCUAACAUUUCCAAAACUUUUGUCAUGGAGGGGCGAUCAGCUGCCUUCACCUGAAUACACCAUAAACCAAUCAUACACAGUUUCCUUGCAAUCAUGGACUCAAUUUCAGUCACAUUCCGAAGCUCUAAAUCACCUCCCUUAUUUAAUUGGUCAUAUACCCAAGAUGGGAAAUAUGCUUUGCUUGAACGAGUUGCAUGCAUAUUAGAAUUCCUUCUUCCGCCAGCCAUUUCCAACAACACCAUCCCAAAACCGUAAACAUCUGACUUGCAAGAAACAGUUCCAAAAUUCCUUGAAAUCAGCUCAGGUGCUAUGUAUCCUAUGGUUCCUCUUGUGGCACUGAUGGACACAAAAUCAUUUUCCUUGGGAUGAAACUUUGCAAGGCCGAAAUCUGAGACCUUUGGGAUGAAAUUAUGAUCUAGCAGGAUGUUGUGAGGCUUAAUGUCGAGAUGAAGAAUGCAGACAUCACAUCCGUUGUGUAAAUACUCGAUCCCACGGGCAGUUCCUAAAGCAACUUCAUGGAGUUUCUCCCAACAAAAAGAUUGGCCUCUACUCUCCUUGGGAAAGAUAUGCCUAUCGAGUGAUCCAUUAGGCAUAAACUCGUAGACAAGUGCGCGUUUGGAUCCCUCAGAACAGAACCCCAAUAACUGGACCACAUUAACGUGGUGAAUUCUACCUAUUGUUGAAACUUCGUUGAUGAAUUCCUCCGCACUGAACUUGGAGUUCUCCAGCAUCUUAACAGCAAUCAAGCGACCGGUAUGAAGCGAGAAAGACUAUUGGAGCAAGAAUAAAUCUACCAAUUAUCGGAACAUCAACUAGAAAACUUAUCCCAUUUCCCAUGGAAGGCCAAAAGAUUGCUAGGUAAAUUACUCUGUAAACUGCAAUUGGAGAGAAGGGGGAAAAAUUAAAUAAGCUUUAUACCUAAUCAGAGAGAUGAUUCAGAAAAAAAUUAUACAGUAAAAGAUUAGAGAAUAUAUGAAGCCGUCGCAUUUAUUAACGUCGAAAACACAUGAUCAAAAAGAUAUAUAAGGAUAUGCUUACGCAUAUAACAUGGGUAGCAAAUAAUUUUUGCCACUACUCCUUCAUUGUAUCUGAAGUUGCAAUCUGUUGCAAAAGUGAAAAGAAACAGAAAUUAAGGGUCACAUCGGUAUGCUCUUAGAUAUAGUUCACAAAUUCUUUAUUACGUACAAUAUUGAGAAACAAAAAACAAAUCGCUUGCAUUUGAAGGCAUAAAUAAACAUAAGCAUAGGCUUACACUCAGUAAAUGAGUUGUCCCUGCACUCAUCUAACCGUUUAAGAUCGAACCCUGACUCCAGCGAUUUUCGGAGGUCUUCAUAAGAAGGAUUGUCCACACUCCUAUUAAGUACUACAGGAACCUUUGAAAUAAAGACGCAUGAGUCUGGAAGAUCUGAUAUUCUGGCGUUGGUGACACCAUAUCCAACAUGUCCAACAUAAACAUAGACAUUCGACUGAUUGUUACUCAAACAUGGAACUUUCGUAUACGCCUGAUCAACAAUAUUACUUGAGCAAUUCACGUAAUGGGCGUAUGAUUUAAGAAUGUAACCGUUAAUAUGUCGGAAAAAGUAAGGAUAUGGGGAAAAAGAUUUGUACGGGAGGCCGCAGCUUCCAUUGGCUAGGUUAACAUCAGCAACACUGAUUGUACAUUUAUCAUGGGAAAUUCUCUUUACAUAGUACCUUGCAGAAUUGGACAAUUCUAAGAUGGUUUUGUUGUUCUCGCAAGAAAGUUCUAACUCCGGAUGACCGCAUCCAGCUGGAUCGCCCUUGAGGCGAAAAGGGUAGCUUAUGUUUCUGACAUCUCCACAAGAAGAAGAACACAUUUGUACUCCAAGUUUUCUUGCUUCAAUUUCACUGGUGCUGAAUACAAACAUCAACAGACAAAACAGAAAAGUUGAGAAAAUUGAAGCUUCUUCACUACUCAUUGCUCCUCCAAUUGCAGGAUACAAUUAACGAAUUUGAAUAAACUAAGCAGAACGGUAUAAAAGUGUUCAUUCGCUACGUUUUCUACAGUUUCACUUGCGCGGUGAGAGGCGGGCUUUAAACUUAUUAUAGUUUAGUAUACAACUAUGCGAUUGAAUUACUUAGCACUAAAUAAUUUGUUUUAAAAAUAAUAUUAAUUAUUCAUAAAAUGAAAUCGACACGAUGGAAGAAAAUUUUUAAUUACUGAGUGCUAGGCUUGUAGCAUUACUGCAAUGGGGACAAAUUUAGAUAAACAUGUUCAAUUUCGUUUCUUACUGUAAAUUUUUUAUGCGGAUGCCACGAAGCUUCUGGAGUCUCUUUCCACGAUUUGUUUAAGUGGAAGCUUUCAGAUUCCAAUGGGGAAGUCCAUACGGCAAGGAGAAGUCGCUUAAUUUCCUGGUAAUUGUAAAUGAGUUAGCAUCGGUGGGAAUGGGAUGAUCCAUCCCCAUCCUAGCUUGACCUCAAAUUUCUUGGUAAACGUUCUUCAACAUUAAAAGCGAUGGAACUUAUUGGAAACAGUUUCAAUGCAGUCCAAUUCCAGUUAAUAUCUUUCGCUUUCUUAAUUUCUCACCACCAAACACACUGGCGUACCCCACCUUUUUUUUUUUUUUUUCCUGACAGGAUUUGGAGAAACGCGGCAUUGGAAAUUUGGAGAGGGCCCGACGACCAACACUUUUAAAGCGACCAACAUGCAGAAGAAUGAGGACCUCUCAUGUCAUGUCACAAGUUUCUAAAAAUUAUGGUUGCUGUUGUAAUUAUUGUUAUUAUUAUUAUGAAUAAAGGAAGAUAUGUACAUUUAGAAUUAUGAUUAGGUACCCAGAGUUGAGUAAUAUAAUGCAUGAUAAGUUUUUAUUGGUGGAGUUGUGUUGUAGGCCCCACAACUCCACUAAUUGAAACACGUCAGGUGUGCGUGAUAGGCGUAUACGCCAUACAAUGCAUUAGUAUUUUUAUUAACUUUUUUUUAAAUAACUAAUAUACAGUAUAUUAGUAAAUUCACAUUUUAAAAGAUGUGGAAAUCCACACAUGAUAUAAUAUAUAUAUAUAUAUAUAUAUAUAUAUAUAUAUCUGCCUGAUAUAUAUAUAUAUAUAUAUAUCAAGAAUUUUAAAGUACGGAAAAGUCUGAAAAAAUUUUAAAACCGCACAGUUUUAAAUGUUUAUAGUUUUAAAGAUUUUUCAGACCUUCCCGCACUUUAAAAUCCUGAAUUGGAACAUUUAUGUAUAUAUAUAUGGAUAUGAGUCUAUCCUUGCGCAUUAGUUAUUUUUUGGGCGUUUUAAUGAUUUUGAUUUCAAAUGCCCAAUAUGAGCUGGGCUUCACAUUGAGACCACCAAAAUCCUAAAAGAAGUAUAAACCGUUAGACUGUAAUAAUGGAAACAAGUAAAUAUAUCAAAAAAUGAUAUUGGAAAAUUAAUGGUCGAAUACAUAGUUUGAUCAUAAGAUAUGACAACAAAUAAUAGAUUAUUAGAAUAACAAAAGGAUGUUAUUAAUAAUUUAUUUUUUUUAUCAUAUACGACGUUCAUUAAUCUCAAGUAGAUUAGAGUAGAAAUGAUAUAAUUUAUGACUAAAAUUUAGAUCAAUUUAUAUGUUAUUCAUCACACACAGUAUAUGAAUGAAAAAAGUUAGACCACCGAUGUAAUACUAGUUAGGCGCAAAGGGAACAAAAAAUCAAUGUGUUUUGAUAUUUCCACUUAAGUUACACACAACAAAUUCGAGCUAAGGAUACUUGAAUCUUAUGCUUGGUGCAACAUUUUGGUGUGUCUUUGUAAGCUAAUUUUUCAUGUGAUUUUUAAAACUCUCCAUUUCCGAUUCAAGAUUGGUUCUAUGAGUAGACUUCGUUGCCGUCAAGAGUCAAAAGUGUCACUACGAUAUUUUAUGAAGGCAAAUCACUUCUGCAUAGAUUUCCUCUCCAUCAAAUGUUUUCGUAUUAAUUUUGUGACAUUGUAACCAGUUCUGUUGUGUUUCAUGUGGUAUGUAUCACUGCCAUAAAUUGCUUUAAUGAAAUAAUCACUUAUUUCAAAUGUCGCAGCUGCAUUAGUAUAAUGUAUGUAUUGAUGUAAAAUUUGGUCAUGUUGUAUGCCACUUGUUUUUAAUGUCUGUCAUGUCGAAUUCAAAUCCAUAAAAUAAAUAUUGAUCAAAUGGUUAACUUGGCAGUCGAUAUAGGAAUAGUAGUCUCAUUGAAAAUGUACUAAAAAAACAAUAUAAUAACAUAUCUAUUGCAAAAGGCGAGCAAGAAAAGGAGGGAAAGUAAUGUAGACUGGAUUUAUCUCCAGCCUAAAAGGGGGAAGCACUUCAUAAAUUAAUGCGUUUAAGCCUGCAACCAUUUAUCUGGCAUACAAAGUCAUGCUACUGUAAACAAUUUAUCAAGCACUUUAAUGUCGUGCUGCUAUGGAUAUGCACGCUUCGAUGGCCAUUUCGCAGCUAUUUAUUAUUGUGGAGACAAAAGCGUAUCGAUUGGUGAUUUUUUUUCCUUAUUAAUAUUUGGUGCAUGUUUUGUUCUGAUUGAAGUAGAGGGCCCUAAUUUUCUGAAAUUUUGUUGACAGAAGAUAGAGAGCGCAUAAAUUAAAAUGCCAUUAAGCAAACGCAUUUUAAAUCUUUGUGCUCUCUGUAUUCUGUCAUCAACGUGCAGCUUCAUUUGGCCUUCAAAACUGUAGUGAUCUACUGAUCUUCUUCCAAGUGCUAUUUGUUAAUUUUCAUUUUAUUAUUAUUUUAUUUGUUCAUAUAUACACACACACACACACAGAGAUACACAGACACACACAUACAUACAUAUACAAUUAUACUCCUAAUAUAAUUAUAACUUUAUAAGUUAUGUAUACACAACUAAACCCAGUGUAUAUAUAUCCUCCAUGUAUGCGUAUCUAUAUUGUGAAAUGAGGCAAUUGGCGGCAUUCAAAAUGAAACCCCGCUUGAGGAGUUGAGAGAGAUUCAGAAUGGGGACUGCUCCUGUGAGCUGCUUUAUCACGGACGCUUUGGGCUUUUCAGAGGAGCAGAAUUAAAAGCCCACUAAUGACUUGGGCUAUUCUUGGAGGCAACCGCAGUCCAUAAAGAAGCAUAAAGCCAUGAACUGUUCCGUUGUUUUGUUCAUUUUUUUCCUUCUAGUCUGAUUCACUUCCGAAGUAGCUGUUGAGAAACUUAAAGAUGAAUAUAAUAUCAUGGACUUUAAUUCUUAAAUUUAACAAAUAUGAGAGUACAUUUUAAAAAAAUUGUAAAAACGUUGUAAGAAAGUAAAAUUUUGAAACAAGCAUGUGAUUAAAACAUAAAUGAAUCCCAACUUUAUUUUGGUUUUAAAGGAAAAAAAAAAAGCACCAUCAAAAAUAAAAUAUUCCUAAAUUUUAGUUGAGGGCAUGAUACGAGAACAUAUAUAAAUACAAGAAGAAUGUGAGAGAUAAUAUUAAGAUUUUUAUAUUUUAAAAUAAUAAAUUUCGUUCAUCUCAAUUUUCAAGUACAUAAUAGAAGUACAAUAGUAGGUCCUCAACUAAUAUGACAAAUUGAAAAAAGUCAUCUAUAAUUGUAUUAAUGUUGUGUCAGUCGAACACAUCAAAGAUUUUAAGUGAUUGAUAAAACAACUACAAUAGAAUAAAAACUCAAUAUACUGGUUUUCAAGUGUUCCAAUAACAAGGAGGACUAAAUAAUUUUUCUUAUAAUCGGGGAAAUUUUGAAACAAAUUAACAAUAUAUCUUUUAAAUUGUAAUCUUCUAUUAUCUAGAUCAAUUGAUUGCACCUGUCUCAACAUCAGAAGAGACAAAGGGCAUUGGAGGGAUCUCCAAGCUUUGAAAAUCAGCUUCAAGCAUUUGUAAUACCAUUGGCAUGGAAGGUCUCUCCGUGGGAUUCCAUUGAAUGCACCAAAGUGCCACAAUUGCAAGCUUUCUGGCAAUUCCCUCAUCCCCAUCUUCCUCAAAUUCCAAACAGAGCUCUUGUCCUUGCCUCAUUCUAUUGUAAAUCCACUCCGGAAAAUAUAUUUGGCUCUGAAUUUCAACCGCAGGAUCAUUAUUUUUUCUGCAUCCGACCAUCUCUAACAGCAUCAUUCCGUAACUGUAAACAUCAGACUUGUAAGAGAUCUCACCAAAAUUCCUGGAGAAAAGUUCAGGUGCAAUGUAGCCAGAAGUGCCUCUGGCAGCUGUCAGAGAUACAAUGCUUAUGUCCUUUGAGCACAACUUAGCCAGUCCAAAAUCUGAAAUCUUCGGUUGAAAAUUAUGGUCUAAUAAUAUAUUGUGAGGCUUGAUAUCGAAGUGCAGGAUCCUCUGGUUGCAUCCUUGGUGCAAGUACUCCACUCCACGGGCAACGCCAAAUGCAAUCUUCCUCAGCUUCUCCCAACUCAAUUGACGGUGACUUGAGCUAUUUGUCUUUGAGAAGAUGAAUUUCUCAAGUGAUCCAUUGGGCAUAAACUCGUAAAUAAGAGCGCGACGAUUCCCUUCAGAGCAAAAUCCCAGAAGCCGAACAAUGUGAAAGUGGUGAAUCCUGCCAAUUGUGGCCACUUCAUUGAUGAACUCUUGUCCAUUUCCUUUUAAAUGUUCCAACAUCUUGACAGCAACUGGAAUUCCGUUGAAGAGUUUUCCUCUGAACACACUUCCAUAACCUCCCUGGCCGAGCCUGUGCUUAAAUCUGCUUGUUAUUUUCUUCAGUUCUUUGUAAGUAUAUCUGGUGGGAUUGACGGUCCUGUAGUUUUCGAGGAACUUCUCCACCUUCAGUUGAGUCUCUUUUUCUUUUUCAGAUUCUCUUGAUCUGUAAAUGAGAAAUAUCACUAAUGCAAAGAGGGUGAUGCCUCCAAUGCUUGUGCCUGUGGAUAUUAGACUUAUUGAUAAAGGGCCAGGACCAUCUGUUAUAUAUAACUAAGAAAAGUUAGUUAAAAAAUUAACUCAAACAAUAAAAUGAGAUGCUAAAAGUCUGGACCCGUGCAAGCUUAACUUGGUAGCAUAAAGACUCUAAUAUCAUUUGAUUGGGUUUUAACAAGUCCCUCUCAUGUGACCAUCUCAUAUAUAGGUAUUUUUUCAUAACUUAAACUAUAAUUAGGUAUCUUAUUCAUAUGGGUGGAUAGAUAAUUAAUUUUUCAUUUAACUAAAUAAAGAAAAAAUAAUAAUAAGCAAAAGGAUGAAAUUAUUUGAACUGCAAAGUAAGCACUCUUUUACCUUACACACUUUAAUUUUAAAAUUUUAACUUUUACUUGAGUACACAAUGAAAACACCAAAAUUAUCACAAUUAGAAAUCUCUGUCUUUAUGUUUUUUUUUUUCCCUUUCUGCAUUCACAAAAUGAUUUUUUUCCCCUCAUCUCUUAUUCCAUGUGAAUAUUGAGGGUUACUUGAUUGAACAAAUUUUUUUCUCAAUAAAUUUUCCAUCAUGAACUUAAUCAUAGAGAAAAAGUAUUAGUAUAAUAAUUCUUCUUAAUUUGUGUUCAUUGAGUACGCAAGAAAAUAUAAUAGGUUAAACUUUUAUCAGGCAUUGUGAGUUUAAUCAAUCUCUCACCAUUUACGAAAAUUAAUUGUAAUAUAAAGAUUCAAAGAUUAAAUUGACGAGAUAGAGAAAAUUAGUAUUAUGUAUUUGGUCCUGAGUAGUAUCAAUUUUUCUUCAAACAGUCAAAUCAGCCUGGCUAGCAACAUUUUAUUAACCAAUCUACAACUGGCACGAAUACCAGAAAGCAGCCUUUAAUAGCAAUGAUAUUCGCCAUACAGAUUAGGGGUAGGUAAAAUUAUAUUUGCCGCCAAAAAAAUGAAUCGUUAGUCUUUUUUUUUUUUGGUUAAAAAAAAAUCCAUCGAUUUAUAUGAGAGAAAAUAAAAAGCCAAAAAAACUAGAAAAACGCAAAAGAAAUUACAGGUCAAAGGGAAAAAAAAAAGCCUAACUAAAUCGAACCAAAUUGAUUGGAUUUUCAAUUCAGUUCAAAUUGUUAAUUUUUUGAAAAACUCACCAUCGGAAUUCAACUAAAUCUAACCAAAAGUGAAAUAUAGAUGGCUUCUUUAAUUUUUAACUUCUAGCAAUUGUAAUUACACUUUUACAAUUGAAAAAAUAAUGCAAAGCCUAAUUAUUAUUAUUUUUUCUUUUCAUUUACACUGCUCUGAUAAAUUUUCCGGCAUAUAUAACAAUGAUAAUAAAUUCAACUUAUUAUUUUUAUUGUUAGCUAAAUAGAGACGAUGCUUUCACUUUCAAGCACUGUAGAGAGAGGUGACUGAGAAAAGAUAUGGUUACUUACGUUUUUGGUGUUUAACGGCAACGCAGAUUGUCGAAUUGCUUGUAGUGUUGAACCCACAAUAAUUCCCUGAAUUUUCGCAGUCGUAGCAUCCAUCAAGAGCUUCCCAUGUUAAGACUACUGGAGUUGCCUUCGCCGUCGUAGCAAUAUCCUGAAGAGGUAAUCCGGCGGGAAUCUCAACUGUUCGAGAUUUUCUACAAUAUGGAGGCAUAUCAUCCAUUGAAGAUUCGCUAUCUAUGGUAUAGACAAGAUUGUUUUCAUUGCUAAGACAAUUGAUCGGUCCAAUUAGUUCAAAUACAGACCGUUCUGCAGCAGCCUUCUCAGUGCAGUUAUAUAAAGCGUAACUUUCAGUAAAGAAUUUGGAGUGUGUGAGGUUGAAAGAGAUAAGACUUUGAAACGGGCAUGCAGUCUCAUUCACAUCUGUAAUGUUAAUACUGCUGUCCAGAUAAGAAAUUUCAUGGACAUAAUAAUC
rnacentral:lncRNA from 1 species